AGUGAACGCUGGCGGCAGGCCUAACACAUGCAAGUCGAACGGCAGCACAGUAAGAGCUUGCUCUUACGGGUGGCGAGUGGCGGACGGGUGAGGAAUACAUCGGAAUCUACUUUUUCGUGGGGGAUAACGUAGGGACACUUACGCUAAUACCGCAUACGACCUACGGGUGAAAGCAGGGGAUCUUCGGACCUUGCGUGAUUGAAUGAGCUGAUGUCGGAUUAGCUAGUUGGCGGGGUAAAGGCCCACCAAGGCGACGAUCCGUAGCUGGUCUGAGAGGAUGAUCAGCCACACUGGAACUGAGACACGGUCCAGACUCCUACGGGAGGCAGCAGUGGGGAAUAUUGGACAAUGGGCGCAAGCCUGAUCCAGCCAUACCGCGUGGGUGAAGAAGGCCUUCGGGUUGUAAAGCCCUUUUGUUGGGAAAGAAAAGCAGCAGGUUAAUACCCCGCUGUUCUGACGGUACCCAAAGAAUAAGCACCGGCUAACUUCGUG
rnacentral:rRNA from 1 species